AACGAACGCUGGCGGCGCGCCUAAUACAUGCAAGUCGAGCGAGAAGACGUAGCAAUACGUUUGUAAAGCGGCGAACGGGUGAGGAAUACAUGGGUAACCUACCCUCGAGUGGGGAAUAACUAGCCGAAAGGUUAGCUAAUACCGCGUACGCUCCUUGGACUUCGGUUCAGGGAGGAAAGCGAUACCGUGGGUAUCGCGCUCUUGGAUGGGCUCAUGUCCUAUCAGCUUGUUGGUGAGGUAACGGCUCACCAAGGCUUCGACGGGUAGCUGGUCUGAGAGGACGAUCAGCCACACUGGCACUGCGACACGGGCCAGACUCCUACGGGAGGCAGCAGUAAGGAAUAUUGCGCAAUGGGCGAAAGCCUGACGCAGCGACGCCGCGUGGGGGAUGAAGGUCUUCGGAUUGUAAACCCCUUUCGGGAGGGAAGAUGGAACGAGCAAUCGUUCGGGACGGUACCUCCAGAAGCAGCCACGGCUAACUUCGUGCCAGCCGCCGCGGUAAU
rnacentral:rRNA from 1 species